UCCCAAAUCAUCCCAUCAAAAUAUCUCAAGCCGCCGCAAGACCAGCCGCGCACACUUAAAAAAAAAAAAAAAGUUUCUAAAUGGGUGAGAUACAGUAGGUGCGUUUUACUUAAGAUCAGCCUUUCCGCCCAAGGCUGGAGGGGAAAGCAUUCUAAGGUGCGUUACGUGCUUGGUGCUGGGGCAGAUCACCGGUGGGUGAUCUCCCCUCCCCCACAGGU
rnacentral:lncRNA from 1 species